UAACUCACAACAACCAGCGCCUGGAAAUUACGAGCAAUGCUUAAAACCCAAAGGACUUGACGGUGUCCCACCCAACUAGAGGAGCCUGUUCUAUAAUCGAUGAUCCCCGCUAUACCUAACCAUUUCUAGCUAUUCAGUCUGUAUACCUCCGUCGAAAGCUUACCAUGUGAACGAACUUUAGUAGGCCCAAGGACCCCAUCAACACGUCAGGUCAAGGUGCAGCUUACGAGAUGGAAAGUAAUGGGCUACAAUUUCUAAUCUAGAACAAACGAAAUACUGUGUGAAACCACAGUCACGAAGGCGGAUUUAGUAGUAAAAAGAAAAUAGAGAGUUCUUUUUAACCCGGCUCUGGGACGUGUACACACCGCCCGUCACCCUCUUCGACUACAUAACAAAGUUCAUAACCCCAUUUUUUACUCUAGAAGAGGCAAGUCGUAACAUGGUAAGUGUACUGGAAAGUGUACUUGGUAUAUUA
rnacentral:rRNA from 1 species